rnacentral:misc_RNA from 1 species
GAUGAAGAACGUAGCGAAAUGCGAUAAGUAAUGUGAAUUGCAGAAUUCAGUGAAUCAUCGAAUCUUUGAACGCACCUUGCGCUCCUUGGUAUUCCGAGGAGCAUGCCUGUUUGAGUGUCAUUAAAUUCUCAACUACACUGACUUUGAAUUGGUGUGGCUUGGAUUUGGGGGGAAAAUUGUUGUGGGCUUUUUGUAUAGUCUGCUCCCCUGAAAUUGAUUAGCGGUACCUUUGUGGAACUGUCUACAGGUGUGAUAAUUAUCUACAUCUUAGACAUCUGCUGGAAUGCUGCUUUCUAAACCUUACUUGUAUUGACAAUCUUGACCUCAAAUCAGGUAGGACUACCCGCUGAACUUAAGCAUAUCAAUAAGCGGAGGA